AUUGAACGCUGGCGGCAUGCCUAACACAUGCAAGUCGAACGAGAUCUUCGGGUCUAGUGGCGCACGGGUGCGUAACGCGUGGGAAUCUGCCCUUUGGUUCGGAAUAACAGUUGGAAACGACUGCUAAUACCGGAUGAUGACGAAAGUCCAAAGAUUUAUCGCCAGAGGAUGAGCCCGCGUAGGAUUAGCUAGUUGGUGUGGUAAAGGCGCACCAAGGCGACGAUCCUUAGCUGGUCUGAGAGGAUGAUCAGCCACACUGGGACUGAGACACGGCCCAGCCUCCUACGGGAGGCCGCGGUGGGGAAUAUUGGACAAUGGGCGAAAGCCUGAUCCAGCAAUGCCGCGUGAGUGAUGAAGGCCUUAGGGUUGUAAAGCUCUUUUACCCGGGAUGAUAAUGACAGUACCGGGAGAAUAAGCUCCGGCUAACUCCGUGCCAGCAGCCGCAGUAA
rnacentral:rRNA from 1 species